GACACCCCCUUCGUCUCAGGGCGCCAUGUGGAGUGCUCCGGCCGUUGGAAUAAGACCCCUCCUCUAUGUCUCCCUCUGUUCUGUCAGUGCUGGGGUGUAGCAACUGAUCUUAUACUACAGCAGGAAGAGAGGAGUAGAGAGAGAGGAGGAGAGAGAGAGAGGGGGAGAGAGACAGAGGGGGAAAGAGAGAUGAGCGACAGCAGGUGUCAGUGCACUGAAAAACCUAGAUGAGGCUGCAUUGCCACGACAACCAACGCUAGGGUACCGCCAGAUCCUGGCAUCACCGGACAGACCCGAGACCCGAGUCCAGUCUCAGCCCCAGGUCCGGUCCGGUCCGGUCCGGUCCGGCCCGGCCCCGGCCCCCCUCCAGUCCUGCUUUGCUCAGCAGCCCAGCCCGCUCCAGGAGCCAUCAGGGUUAGUGCACUUUUGGCAUUGCCGUCUGUGCUGAGGCCUGAGCUCGGCUCUCUCUGGGUAGAGGUUAUUUAUUCCCCCGUGCCCACGUAGGUUCCUUAGGUCUUGCAAAAAAAAAAAAAGAAGAAGAAAAAAAACAGCUACGCACUCCCGACGCUACGCAAUCCAAUAACCCACUCAGCAAGUUCCCCUGCCCAGAGCCUUCUCCAAAUAACACAGCGGAUUUAUACCGCUCGAUAGGACGAUUACAUCGACUUCACUCUCCGAUGUACUAGCGAUUUUAACAAAAUGGAAAUGUUUGGUUGCUUCCAUGUUUUUCUACUGGGUGACAGAAGGGGGGAGGGGUAACUACGGCCUCUGGCUCCUCUCACUGUUUUAUCUCUUUAAGGAAUCUCAGACAGUUUUAUCUUUGAAAGGUAUCUUUAUUUUUUUUCUUCAGAAACAUAGCAAAUAUUGUAUAUCCGGUGAGCGGUAGCCCCAGAGUGUAGGGGGAGGGGUGCUUUCUGAGGCGCAAACAUACUCUCUUAGACACACCGAGCACACACACCAAAUCAAGAUUCUAAGAAGAACAGGAAGGCUGCGCUGUUUGACUCAUAAUUCAAAAUACUGAACGUUCAGCAUUUUCCCGCAGUUCAAUGGAGGACACAAAGCUAAACUAAAUGGUAACCAAUAUUCUGCUCUUAUAACCACAGUGUGUGUGUGUGUGUGUGUGUGUGUGUGUGUGUGUGUGUGUGUGUGUGUGUGUGUGUGUGUGUGUGUGUGUGUGUGUGUGUGAGUGUGUGUGUGUGUGUGUGUGUGUGUGUGUGCAUGCGUGCCAAGUCUUAGAAAGCCAAGGUUUACACAUUCACAUGUCGUUGCUCCUUUUAAUGCUUUGUCAAACAGCACAGCCAUUGGAUGGCCAUAAAUAAGACAGCAUCGCACUGUGCACAAAACAGCACCUCGUCCAUCCAGGCAGGUGAACCUAAUGUUGUACAUUUAUAUCCAAGGGGACCAUUAAUGUGUGUGUGUGUGGGUGUUUGUUUUUCUAUAGCAAUAAAAUAAUAUACGUGAUUGGUAUGCCAUUGAUUGAAAUCAUCACCUUCCAAUGUGAUUAAUGAAUCUCUUUAUUUUCUCUCUCUCUCUCUCUCUCUCUCUCUCUCUCUCUCUCUCUCUCUCUCUCUCUCUCUCUCUCUCUCUCUCUCUCUCCACCUCCCCCUCGCCCAUGAGUGUGCCGAUAUGCCCGUGAAUAUAAUGUAGCCAUUAGUUGAGUCUAUUACUAUGAGCCCGCAACAGCUCAAGGCGGGCCUGAAGGCAAAAACGCUCCCUCUUUUUGUAUCUCCCCUUUUCAUGCCAGUUUUUCCAAAAAGGUGUCUAAUCAAAUAAACUGACUGCGUCAAUAACAAUUGGUUCUUUGUGUUUAGGUUUUAAAAAUACAUAUGAAUGGAUUUAUAAUUGUAUGUGUCUUGAUCAUCUCUCCCCUGACCGAAUGUCCAUUAUGAGUUAUAAUGAACGUUUCUUCCGGCCUCUGGCAUCUUGUCGGCAUUCCUCCAGACGGAGAGACAAAGAGUUGUUCCGUGGUAUUGCUUCAAUGCCCUGUCGAGCACCUUGAGGCCGUCCACCACGAUGAAAGUUUUUACAUAUCAGUGAGGUGGCUGGCAGUCACUCUGCACACAUGCAUGCGUCGGCGGGCACAUAUGUGUGUGUGCUCAGCGUGUGGAGGACUAGCAGAUGAGACAUGCAGUUAACCGUAAAAUGGCAACCCUGCAAGUUGCACCACCGCUGGGGUGGGAGGUGGAUCUGGAUCGUUUGCUGACCACGCCUCUACAGUGCUGUGUAAUGGACAAACAGAACCUAAUUUCCUUGUUCUGAAAGGUCUAAAUGACCCCCCCCCCCCCCCCUCCCCCAAACACUCGACGGCAGGAUCGGAGCCACGCCUAAACUAACGUAUAGUCAUUCAUUGCCCCUGCACCAUGAGAGCACUGUUUCACUUAUUAUUAUAUCAUGUCCUCAUUUGUUUAUUCUUCGAGACACAGGAGGUGAGCGAGAGAGAUACCAUCAAAUAAACGUCUUUAAACAUAAGCGAUUUGGGAUUUUCGUUGCGUUUUUACGCCCUAGCACAUCAUGAUGUCAAACAGAAGCAGCCAGGGUGGGUGUGGAGGAAGUGCGUUUGUGCGUGUGUAUGUUUGCGUGCACGUUGUGGGACUUUCGGGCCCACUCAAGCUCUUUUUACCAGCGUGGUCAUAGUGCAUGCAGCAGACCUCCUUAUUAUCCUCCAACUCAAUUUAGAGAUGCAUUAGAGGAGGCUGAGGCGCGCCUCGUUAUGCUCAGAUGCAAUCAGACUGUCUGUGUUUUGAAAGGAAAUCAAAGUGGUGGGCACAUCUCUAUUGACUCUUUGUUGGCCAUAUAUCUGCAUUUAAAUGGAGCUAUAGCUCUGUUUAUGUGGAUAUAGAUGCAUUCAUGUAUGCAUGUCUACACUUAUGUAGAUGUAGUUUAAUGUAUAUAUGAAUAUGUGUAUUAAUAUCGAUACAUUGAUAUAUACAUGUCAUGAUAAUACAUUUAUAUUGAUUCAUAUUCAGGUUACUAUUCAAUUACUUUAAAUUGGAUUUGUAUAGCCCUUAAUCGUCAUUACAGUUGCAAAGGGCUUAAUAGGGCAAAUAUUUAUGACACCCCCUGACUCAAGGUCCCCAAGACGGCAAGAAAAAACUCUCUUAAUCAGCAAGGAAGAAAUCUUGAGUCACUCCCCACAGCUGGUGAUCGUAGGGUACAGGAUCAUAGGCCGAGUGGAAAAUUGAGAUCUUCACCUUACGGCUCAGCUCUCCCUUCACAUGUACAGAACACCACAUCAAUGCUGGUCUGUCUCACGCUCCCCGGUCCAUCUCACACUCCACUUACUCUCACUGGGGAACUAGAUCCCGAGGUACUUGGGCCCAAUCCCAUUUCUACCCAUUACCCCUUCCCCUUACCACUCCCCCUUGUUUUGAAGGGGGAAGGGGAAGGCGUAAGGGGUAGAAAUGGGAUUGGGCCUUGAGCUCCUCCUCUGGGUAUAAGUCAGCCCACGCCCCAGCCUGAGAAGGGCAAACGGGGCUCAAGACUAACAUUUCUGGGGGCACUAGCUUUUUCUUUUGGUUGCACCCUGACCAUUUUAGUCGCUUUAUGACACAUUUGGUCGAACCGCAUUGUCGCAGUAUUGUUAUUUCCUUUGUCAUGUACCAGCCAUCUAUGUGCAUUCAUUCUAAAAACGUAACCACAAAUGAAUUGUAAAAAUGUUACUAUUGCUUUUUAUUUUUUUAGCAACGGUGCUUCGGCUGAACUUUCCUCACGAAUCACCUCUUCGCGCUUCUCCUCUUUCUUCUCUGCUACAGUAUAUCAAAAGCUAUUUCUACUUAUAAAAUCAGGCUGGUUAUUAGGUGAUACAGGCCUACAGCAAUUACCAUUUUUUGUUUCCUUUUUUGUCGAUCCGUCAUCCACAAUAGUGUACACUUGAAUAGCGCUAGUGCUGCGUUGCAAUUUCAUUGAAACUUUGCCAACGAACUGUACAAACUACCAUUUUAGUUUCACGAUCAUUUGAAACACCCCCCAUAUGUUCCAAGCCGUCUCUUAAUGGGAACCUGGGUGGCUUGCAUUUCCAAUGAGAGUUCUCACACUGGCGCCACUAUAACUUCCCAUACGGCUCGAAACCUUGGCGCUGAACGCACCGCCACCCAUUACCACCCAUCAUAAAGAACACAGAACAAGCCCUUAAAUAAGACCUUCCCAAGUGCUGCCCUUUCUCUCGCUUGUCUGGUGUGUGACCCGCUUUACAUUGAUCCUCUGUCGUAACCAAGUUGGAUUCAGACAAACAGAGGAUCCCAAAGCCACUGGCAGGCCCGUCGCUCCCUACACGCAGAGUGCGUAGGGCACCAAGUACCUGAGGGGGGCACCAAAAAUUAAGGUUUG